rnacentral:rRNA from 1 species
CCAAUAGCGUAUAUUAAAGUUGUUGCAGUUAAAAAGCUCGUAGUUGAAUUUCGGGAUUAAUUUAUUGGUCGUGCUAUUGUACGUACUGGUAUUAUUGAUUCCUACCUUCUGACGAACCACGAUGUCAUUAAUUUGGUGUCAUGGGGAAUCAGGACUGUUACUUUGAAAAAAUUAGAGUGUUUAAAGCAGGCUCACGCUUGAAUACAUUAGCAUGGAAUAACGAAAUAGGACGUUUGAUUCUAUUUUGUUGGUUUCUAGGAUCGACGUAAUGAUUAAUAGGGAUAGUUGGGGGCAUUAGUAUUCAAUUGUCAGAGGUGAAAUUCUUGGAUUUAUUGAAGACUAACUACUGCGAAAGCAUUUGCCAAGGAUGUUUUCAUUAAUCAAGAGCGAAAGUUAGGGGAUCGAAGACGAUCAGAUACCGUCGUAGUCUUAACCAUAAACUAUGCCGACUAGGGAUCGGAUGAUGUUAAUCUUUUAAUGACUCAUUCGGCGCCUUACG